UUACAAUUGCAAUAACGACAAUAUAAAAACAUUAAAAGAAGAAAACGAAUGGGAAAAAGUAAAAAUAGAAAGUAAUAAGAAACCGUAUGAACAUGUUCAUCUUAUUAAUGAAGAAAACAUGAAACAUAAUAAAGAGAGUUACUUAAAUCAAUCUUUUACUCAUUUUCCUGAAUAUAUACAAGAAAAUAAUUUUGAUGCUGAUAAAACUUAUAACAAUAGAACAGAAGAAAAAGAAGUUAACGAAGAAAAAAAAAAAAAUAAUAAUAAUAAAAUAAAUCAAUUAAUAUGUACAGAUAAUGAAAGUAAAGAUAAAGGUAAAGAUAAAGGUAAAGAUAAAAGCAAAGAUGAAAAAAUUUCUACUCACAGAAACUCAAAUAUGGAUUACAAAGAAAUAGAAAUAAAAAAUAUAUUGAAUAAAGCAGAAAAUAUGGAUAACUAUAAUAUGAAUAGCUAUAAUGCCCAUAAUGAUACCAUGGACAAUAAUGAAACUGCUUUUGCAAAUAGUGAUGAUAUACAUAUAAAAAAUAAAUUUAUAAACAUACCAAAUGACUACUGUUAUAACAAAAAUCAUUCUUCACAAAAUAAUAUAAACGUGUAUGAUCAAAACAUAAAUGGUAUUAUAAGUAAGAACGGAGAGGAUGAAAAUAAAAAAACUGGCGGUAAUNNNNNNNNNNNNNNNNNNNNNNNNNNNNNNNNNNNNNNNNNNNNNNNNNNNNNNNNNNNNNNNNNNNNNNNNNNNNNNNNNNNNNNNNNNNNNNNNNNNNAAAAUAUGUCAUUUGCACUCAAACGAAGCAAAUGGUAAUAACAGUGACCAAAGCAACGGAAACAGUAGUAAUAGAAAUAAAAAUGAAAACAGCUACGACAGUAACAACAAUGAGAGUAUGGAAUUUAAUGACAACUACAAAGGAACUGACAAAUUAUUAACAGAAGUAGUAGGAGUACAUGAAUCCAAUCUAUUUAAAAACAAAAAAGAAAACAUUAGGGCUCAUCAUAACCCUUAUUCUUUAUAUUUAAAUAAUGAAAAAAUAAAAUAUAUAGACAUAAUAAGUUAUUAUAUGUAUUUAUUAUCACCUUUUAAUAAAUUUCAUGAUAUAAAUAAAAAAGAAAGUGUACAAAAUGAAGAAGAGUUAAAUACGGUAAGAGAAAAGUUGGAUAAUAUUUUAUUGAAAUAUGAUGAUAUUAUUAAUGAUAUAAUUGAAAAAAAUAAUGUAAAAGAAGUAACAGAAAAGUUAUUUUCCAAUAUAGAAAAUGAUAAGGAUAUAGUUAAUAUGAAUAAUAACAAUAUGACUGGUAAUAGUCAUCUGAGCGGUAAUAAUCAUCUGAGCGGUAAUAAUCAUCUGAGCGGUAAUAGCCAUUUGAGCGGUAAUAGCCAUUUGAGCGGUAAUAACAACCUAAAACAAAAUACAUAUCACAAUUUUGAUAAUUUAAAUUUUGAUAAAAUAAAUGAUCAGAUUAAUGGUCUAGUUUUAAAAAAUGAAAACAUUUUCGGAAAUGAAAAUAGUACUGUCGGAUGGGAACAAAAUUAUGAAAAUAAUCUGAACCGGAAUGAUUAUAGAAAUAAUUGUUUAGAAUAUAGUCGCUGUUUCGAUGAGUUAAAAGACUCUCAAACAGAUAUUGGAGUCAUUGAUUCACCUAAUGGCUCAAAUCCUGACAUAUCUUUUGCUAACAGUUGUUCACGUUCAUAUACAGAAAAAAACAAUUUAUAUUACAACAGCUACCAAAACAGUAAUAAUUUAAAAUUGAAACACAAUUACUUACUUAAUAACGAGUUGAAUGAUCAUGACUAUUUAUUUAAUAUAUUACAAUAUAAAGAUUUGCAUAAUGAUAAAACUAAAUAUACAAAUAAUAAGGAUAAAAAUAAUAACAGUGUAAUGACAUAUGAUAAUAAAGAUAAUAAAGAUAUGAUUUGUGAAGAUAUAUCAAAUCAUAGAUAUCUGGAAUGUAAUGUUACAAAUAAUUUAAUAUGUGAGAAUAUUUCUUUAAAAAAAAUAAACAAAAAUAAUAAUAUUGUUUCUUAUAUAAAUAAUAAUAAUGAUAUUGAAAAUGAUUCUGCUUACCAAUUUUUAAAUAAUGCGGAUAUAACACAAACAAAAAAAUAUACUACUAAUACAUUUUUCACUAAUUACAAAGAAACAUUUAAUAACACAAAUAGACGAAAUGAUUUUAGUGAUUAUAACAAUGUAUUACUCUAUACAGAUAAUGAAAUGAUGGAUAACAUACGUAUGUGUGAGCCUACUAUUUUAAAUAAAAAAAAUAUGGAUAAACAAAAAGAAACAUAUACAAUCUUAAAUGAAUCUUUUAAUCAGAUAUCAUAUUUAAAUAAUAAUACUUUACUACCAAUAAAUAAACAACGAAUAAAUUAUGAAUUACCAUAUGAAAGUAACCAAGAUAUUGAAAAAAAACACUCUUUCUUAAAUAACAACAUUACAACUGAAAAUAUAAAUAACAAUAAGUGUAGUAAUAAUAUGUCCAAUGAUAAUAGUGAAGGUUAUAAAAAAGGAGAAACAACUUCCAGUACUAGUAGUAGUAGUAGUUGUAGUAGUAGUAAUCACAAUAAAAACAACAACUACGCAAGUGCUGGUGGUAGUGGUAAUGAUGAUAACGGUAAUGGUAGUGGUAAUAGUAAUGGUAAUAGUAAUGGUAGUGGUAAUAGUAAUGGUAAUAGUAGUGGUAAUAGUAGUGGUAAUAGUAGUGGUAGUGGUAAUAGUAGUGGUAAUGGUAAUAGUAGUGGUAAUGGUAAUGGUGGUGGUAAUGGUAAUGGUAGUGAUAGUGGGUAUAAUGGUGGAACUGGUAGUAGUAGUAGUAGUAGUAACAGUAAUGGAGAUGAUAGCAAUGAGGAUGAUGGAAAAAAAAACAACUUUAAUAAUGAGAAAAAUGAAGAAGAUGAAUAUGAAAAUGAUAAUAAUAAAGACGUAAAAAAGAAUGGCAAUCACGAAUUAGAGAAAGAUAAAAAAAGAAUCGAAGAUAAUGAUAAAAAAGAUAACCCAAACAACAAUGAUUAUACUAAUAAUGAUAACAUUACCGAAAGUGAUAUGAUAAAUAGCGGUUGUAGUAGUAAUAUAAAUAACACCAACUGUAACAACUUAAAUAAAUAUUUAAAUCCGAAUGGGUAUGUUUUGUGUGAUAAUUUUGCAUUACAAACUGAUAGUAGUAAUGUAAACAAACAAAUUAUGAAUGUAGGUGAUAAGUCAAAUAUCGAGAUGAAUAAUAGCAAUAGUACUGUUAGAGAUAGUAAUUUUAUAGUUGAUAAAAAUAAAAAUGCUAUAGAAACAGAAUAUAAAGAUUGUAAAGGUAGACUGUCUGCAUUUGAUAGUAACUUAAACAAUGAUAGUGGUGGUGAUAAUAAAAAAAGCUUUGAUUGUGUCGGUAGUAGCAACAAUAAUAAUAAUAAUAAAUAUGUUGAAUUAUUAGGUAACACUGGUAAAGAAGCAAUGAAAGAAUUUAAUGGAAAUCUAAAUAAUUAUAAUAAUGAGAUUAUGAAUAAUGACUUAUAUAAUUCAUAUAUGAAUAUGUAUAACAAUAUGAAUGAAAAAAAUUUGACCUAUAACGGUUUAGGCCUAAGUGGAAAUAACGAAAACAUAAAUUCCAACAACAUGAACAACAACAUGAAUAACAUGAACAACAUGAACAACAACAUGAACAACAUGAACAACAUGAACAACAUGAACAACAUGAACAACAUGAACAACAUGAACAACAUGAACAACAUGAACAAUAUGAACAACAUGAACAACAUGAACAACAUGAACAACAACAUGAACAGCAUGAACAACAUGAACAACAACAUGAACAACAUGAACAACAUAAACAACGUCAACAACAACGUCAACAACAACGUCAACAACAACGUCAACAACAACAUCAACAACAACAUCAACAACAGUAGUAAUAACAAUAACAAUGUAAUACAAUGUUACAAAAACAAUUUGGAACAUGACCUAAUAAAGUUUGCUAACAAUACAUACAUAGAUAUUCAUAAAAUUGUCCAAAAUGAUGACUUAUUAAAAAAAGAGUUUACAAACAUGGAAGAAAGUUUUAAAAACAUACCAUCACCUAUUAAAAAUAAUCGUAAAAUGAAACAAAGAUAUGACAGUAAUACAGGAGGUGUUGAUAAACAUAUGAUGUAUAAUAAUUAUGAUCACUUGUUAUAUUUUGGUAACAUGUUAAGAAAAGAUGAUUACAUAAAUUUCAAUAACGAUGAAUUGUAUUUUUUUCAAAAUAAUAAUAUUCCACCAAACUUACUAAAUAAUGAUUUAAGUAGUGACAGUGUAAUAAAUAAUAAUAUAGAAAAAAUUAUAGAUAUAAUGAAUACAAAUAAUGAAAGCAUUAUAAAUAAAAAUUUUAUACUAGACCAUGAAUAUUACACUGGUAACGGAACAAGUCAAGGUCCAAAUCAUGGAACGAUUAAUAACAUAAACAAUAUAAAUAAUGAAAGUAGUAAUCCUAACUCUAUACCUAGUGACAAUAAAAACAAGAAAAAAGAUAAUCGAAAGUUUUUUGCUUAUAAUAAUAAUAAUAUGCACGUUAAUGCAAAUAUGCAUGGUAACAUGAAUAAUAUGCAGAGCAACAUGGGUGGUAUACAGGGUAACAUGGGCAUGCACGGUAACAUGAGUAUGCACGGAAAUAUGAAUAUGCAAGGUGGUAACAACAUUUUAAAUAACUAUACACCUGGUGGUAGCACUACAGUAGUUGGUACAGACCCAGGCACAGGCGUAGGUACAAAUACAGGUACAACAUCACAAAACAGUCGGCAAUCUGCGAAGGAUAAAAAAAGAAAAACAAAUUAUAACGUUAAUGAGAAUAGCAGUUUGUUAUCAUAUAAAUUACGAAAAUAUAACAACAACGGAAACGGGAAUGACAUGAAUGACAGCAUGGACAACAACGACAACAUGAACGACGACGAGAGUAAAGGUAUGCUUAAUAGAUAUAANNNNNNNNNNNNNNNNNNNNNNNNNNNNNNNNNNNNNNNNNNNNNNNNNNNNNNNNNNNNNNNNNNNNNNNNNNNNNNNNNNNNNNNNNNNNNNNNNNNNAAAAAAAAAAAAAUACCAAAAAAUUGAUAUAAGAUCUUUAAACAGAAAUGUACAAAAAAAUAAGGAGAUUUUUAUUAAUUGUUACAUACAUUAUGAUAAUUUUAAAUCGAGUUAUAUAUUAACAUUUAUUAACAGGAAGCAAAAAAAACAACGAAAGUUAUUUCCUGUUGAGGCGAAUGAAAAAGAUGAAACCUAUAUUUUACAAAUAAUUAAUUAUAUUGAAAAAUUAAAAAAACAAAAUAAG
rnacentral:lncRNA from 1 species